rnacentral:rRNA from 1 species
ACAGGUGGGCAGGGAGAGAAUCCCGAGGUGAGCGAGAGAACUGUUGCCAAGGAACUCGGCAAAAUGACUCCGUAAGUUAGCGAGAAGGAGUGCUUAAGCAAUUAAGCCGCAGUGAAGAGGCCCAAGCGACUGUUUAACUAAAACACAGCUCUCUGCGAAGUCGCAAGACGAAGUAUAGGGGGUGACACCUGCCCGGUGCUGGAAGGUUAAGAGGAUCUGUUAAGAGCGAUCUGAAGCAGUGAUCCGAAGCCCCAGUGAACGGCGGCCGUAACAAUAACGGUCCUAAGGUAGCGAAAUUCCUUGUCAGGUAAGGUCUGACCCGCACGAAAGGUGUAACGAUUUGGGCGCUGUCUCGGCAGCGGACUCGGUGAAAUCUUAGUACCUGUGAAAAUGCAGGUUACCCGCAACUAGACGGAAAGACCCCAUGGAGCUUUACUGCAGCCUGAUAUUGAAUUCUGGUCAUACAUGUACAGGAUAGGUGGGAGACAAAGAGACGUGCACGCCAGUGUACGAGGAGUCGACGUUGGGAUACCUCUCUUGUGUGACCGGGGUUCUAACCUGGUAUCGAGAACAGGUACGGGGAGAGUGUCAGGUGGGCAGUUUGACUGGGGCGGUCGCCUCCCAAAGAGUAACGGAGGCGCCCAAAGGUACGCUCAGAUUGGAUGGAAACCAAUCGUUGAGUGCAAUUGCAGAAGCGUGCUUGACUGUGAGACAGACAAGUCGAACAGGGACGAAAGUCGGGAAUAGUGAUCCGGCGGUGCCGAAUGGAAGGGCCGUCGCUCAACGGAUAAAAGCUACCCUGGGGAUAACAGGCUGAUCUCGCCCAAGAGUUCACAUCGACGGCGAGGUUUGGCACCUCGAUGUCGGCUCAUCGCAUCCUGGAGCUGGAUUCGGUUCCAAGGGUUGGGCUGUCCGCCCAUUAAAGCGGUACGCGAGCUGGGUUCAGAACGUCGUGAGACAGUUCGGUCCCUAUCUGUUGUGGGCGAAGGAGAUCUGCGGAGAGCUGUCCUCAGUACGAGAGGACCGGGAUGGACCUACCGCUGGUGCACCGGUUGUUCCGCCAGGGGCAUAGCCGGGUAGCUAAGUAGGGAAAGGAUAAGCGCUGAAAGCAUCUAAGCACGAAGCCUACUCCAAGAUGAGAUCUCCCAUUCGCAAGAAGUAAGACCCCUUAAAGACGAUAAGGUAGAUAGGCCAGGGAUGGAAGUGCAGUGAUGUACGGAGUUGACUGGUACUAAUCGGUCGAGGACUUAAUCU